rfam:Salmo salar isolate Sally breed double haploid chromosome ssa02, whole genome shotgun sequence.
UAUUCACUCAACUGUAAGGCACUCUGGAUAAGAGUGUCUGCUAAAUGACCAAAC